ACGAGGAGCCAGAUAAAGAGAGGCUGUGUUCUAUUUGGCCUGGGUGGUUUUUAAUAGCAGUUCAUAAUAAUUAUAGUUCUCAUUUAUUGAGCACUCGCUGUGGGCCAGGCGCCACAUACGUGAUCUCAUUUAAGUUGCUCAGAGGUAGGUACUCUUGUUAUCUCCUGUUACAGAGGAGGAAGCUGAGGCCCAGAGAGGUUAAGCAACUUGCCUGAAGUCACACAGCUUUUAAGUGACAGAACCAGGAUUUGGCUGCAGGCAUUUGUCCUUCAUGGCCGGAUCUUAGCCCCUGCACUAGUUCUUGUUUGUCCCUCCAGAUCUGUGUGUGCCCACAGAAGCUGUCCCCUGCUAACUCUGGGCAGGCUGGCUUCCAGCUGGGUUCAACAGUGGGACGGCAGAAGCAGGAAGUCUGGACAGCGAACAAAGGAAAGGCCAGAGCACUUCGCUUUGAUCGUCGAUGACGGCCCCCUCCUCAUUCAGCUUCGGAAACUUUCAACCCUUCCCCUUUGGAAGUCUCUGGGUCCUCUGACAUCCCCAUCUGUUCCCAUAAGAAAUCAUUCAUGAAGUCCCUUCCUCUGAGCCACCUAGGGUAGACUGUGCUUCCUGCCAGAGCCCCGACCGCAACACCACUGCCCACGCUGGCGUCCACUUGCUUCGCUCCGCGCCACGCAGAUGAGAGCAGCAGCCGUGGGGAGGGCUGACUCCAGACCAGGAAGCGACGUUCCGUGUGUCUAUCACCUUCCCGUGCAAACACGGCCGGCUGGCUACGAUGCGAGGUGUGGGAGGUGUGGAUCUCGUCUGGAUCGUGAGUCCAACAAACCAACUGUGGCAAAACUACCCGUGAGACGUUUGGGGGAGCCUGAAUACAGACUGGAAAUUUGGUGAAUUGGCUGUGAAAAUGUAGGAUGUUCAGCACCUGAUCAUCACCAGGAUGCAUAUCACCGGGGCACCCCAACAGCUGCCGCGGUCCAGCAGGUCCACACGUGCUAGCUGAGGAAGGCAACACCAGGAGAACGGCCCCGUAGGAACUUCAUUCUCCCCGCUAGGAAAGCUGGGCUCAAGGCCUCCAUGGAGGUGCGGCCAAGCCUUGGCCCCCAGAGCUUCCCCGAAUGCGGGUUUGCAGAGACUAAAUAAGGAGCGCACCCAGACUCGCACUAACCCCCAUCCCAUUAGUUCCGGCCUCAGGAAGAGGAAGGGAUCGGAUCUGCAUAACAGUGAAUCACAAGCACUUCGGCACAAUGACCCCUCUAGGAGAGGGUGGAGAAGCUCGUCUGGCAACUGCCUACACAAACCGGGCAAUUCUGAAGAGCAGCAAACAAACCUGUCUACCCCAGUUCCCAUUGUGCAUGAGAUUGUGCUCCACAAAAACAACAUCCAAGGAACACCUGUUGAUCGAUACCAAACGUUAACACUCAGAUUUGGGCCAAGAGACAAUUAAAAAGGUCACUAUGAAGGAA